CGAUUUACUUGGGGAUAUAUAUAAUCAUAAGUAUUUUGGGGGGGGACUAUUAAGUAAUCUUAAGUGGGUGGGAUUAGUUAAAAAGCAUGAUACUAUUAGAUACCGCUAUAAGUAAACAUGUGCACCUCCUUGUGAUUCUUUCCUCUAUAAUUGCUACCCCUAAAGAUUUCAGAUAAACUUGAAGGGAACUGCAGGGAGAUCAACCUUUUGGGGGCUGUUGGACACGGAUAGAAAUUAGUGGGAGAAAGUUCAGGGAUGAUUGGAUAAAAAUAAUCUAAUAGAGGCUCUUUGCCCUGAGGAUUAACUCCGGGGAUUGAGAUUGUAAGCAGUCUUUAGAGAGUUAAGAUAGAUAGAUGCCCUUUGAGAAAUUGUUGCUGGAGUGAUAUUGAUAACUAUAGAUGGUA
rnacentral:lncRNA from 1 species